rnacentral:rRNA from 1 species
UCGAGCGAAUGGAUUAAGAGCUUGCUCUUAUGAAGUUAGCGGCGGACGGGUGAGUAACACGUGGGUAACCUGCCCAUAAGACUGGGAUAACUCCGGGAAACCGGGGCUAAUACCGGAUAACAUUUUGAACCGCAUGGUUCGAAAUUGAAAGGCGGCUUCGGCUGUCACUUAUGGAUGGACCCGCGUCGCAUUAGCUAGUUGGUGAGGUAACGGCUCACCAAGGCAACGAUGCGUAGCCGACCUGAGAGGGUGAUCGGCCACACUGGGACUGAGACACGGCCCAGACUCCUACGGGAGGCAGCAGUAGGGAAUCUUCCGCAAUGGACGAAAGUCUGACGGAGCAACGCCGCGUGAGUGAUGAAGGCUUUCGGGUCGUAAAACUCUGUUGUUAGGGAAGAACAAGUGCUAGUUGAAUAAGCUGGCACCUUGACGGUACCUAACCAGAAAGCCACGGCUAACUACGUGCCAGCAGCCGCGGUAAUACGUAGGUGGCAAGCGUUAUCCGGAAUUAUUGGGCGUAAAGCGCGCGCAGGUGGUUUCUUAAGUCUGAUGUGAAAGCCCACGGCUCAACCGUGGAGGGUCAUUGGAAACUGGGAGACUUGAGUGCAGAAGAGGAAAGUGGAAUUCCAUGUGUAGCGGUGAAAUGCGUAGAGAUAUGGAGGAACACCAGUGGCGAAGGCGACUUUCUGGUCUGUAACUGACACUGAGGCGCGAAAGCGUG